UGCCAAAGGAGAUUUGCCUCG
rnacentral:miRNA from 2 species